rnacentral:lncRNA from 1 species
GCGUGCUCGCCGUCGCGCCCGAUCGCCUGCGCGAGUUCGCGCUCCAGUCUCACGACUCGGUCGGCGAGAUCCCCGGGGGCGGAGCACCCGGGCACUCGAACCAGCGCGGCGCGCCACGACUCGCGCUCCGCCAGCUGUGACGCGUUCGACGCCGACGCAGCCUCCGCCUGCGACGCCCUCGCCUCCGCGCGCGACGCCUUGGCCUCCGCGGCGUUCGCGCGCUCCUCCGCCGCGGUGUGUGCCGCCGCCCUCGCCUCCAGACCCUUGGCGCGUUUGACCAAUUCGGCGUCCCUUUUGGCGGCGUCUCGCAUGGCGGCGAGGGAAAGCUCCAGCUCGC